AUUGAACGCUGGCGGCAUGCCUUACACAUGCAAGUCGAACGGUAACGGGCCUUCGGGUGCCGACGAGUGGCGAACGGGUGAGUAAUACAUCGGAACGUGCCCGGUCGUGGGGGAUAACGAGGCGAAAGCUUUGCUAAUACCGCAUACGAUCUACGGAUGAGAGCAGUGGACCGGAAGGCCUUGCGCGGACGGAGCGGCCGAUGGCAGAUUAGGUAGUUGGUGGGAUAAAAGCUUACCAGGCCGACGAUCUGUAGCUGGUCUGAGAGGAUGAUCAGCCACACUGGGACUGAGCCACGGCCCAGACUCCUACGGGAGGCAGCAGUGGGGAAUUUUGGACAAUGGGCGCAAGCCUGAUCCAGCCAUGCCGCGUGCAGGAUGACGGCCUUCGGGUUGUAAACUGCUUUUGUACGGAACGAAAAGCCUUCUUUUAAUACAGGAGGGUCAUGACGGUACCGUAAGAAUAAGCACCGGCUAACUACGUG
rnacentral:rRNA from 1 species